CAAUGAUAUUACAUCUCAUUCAAUGCCAAAAUGGACUGGAUUGGAAACAGCAACAGUACUACUGUCCCUGUACUUCAAGAUCUUUACUUCAGUUGAACCAUUGGGGGUGUGGCGAUGCUUAGCAGUGCUCAAAGAAUUUCAAGAGAGACAAAGAAAGAGGCAGAAAGAACCAUGGCAUACCUGAGUUGAAAGGACCUGGGACAUCUAAAAAACAAUGAAGGA